CCUACGGGAGGCAGCAGUGGGGAAUAUUGCACAAUGGGGGAAACCCUGAUGCAGCGACGCCGCGUGAGUGAAGAAGUAUUUCGGUAUUGAAAGCUCUAUCAGCAGGGAAGAAAAUGACAGUACGUGACCAACAAGCCCCGGAUAACUACGUGCCAGCAGCGGCGGUAAUGCGGAGGGGGCAAUCGUUAUCCGGAUUUACUGGGCGUGAAGGGGUCGUAGGCGGUUAUGUAAGACGGGAGUGAAAGGCCGGGGCCCAACCCCGGGACUGCUUUGGCAACUGUGUAAUUGGAGGAAAGGAGGGGGAGGCGGAAUGCGUGGUGUAGCGGUGAAAGGCGUAGAUAUCAGGAGGAACACCGGCGGAGAAGGCGGCCUGCUGGACUGUAACUGACGUUGAGGCUCGAAAGCGUGGGGAGCAAACAGGAUUAGAUACCCGUGUAGUC
rnacentral:rRNA from 1 species